AAAAACAAAAAACAAAAUUUACCUGAAAAGGAGUGGGACGAAGAAAACUUUGGGAUCUGGAAAAUGCAAGUCCCAGUGGGUCUUCUCUUCCUCUUCAUGGGUUCCAUCUCUGCCAAAAAGGUGGGGGAUUUUGGUGUGUUUACUGCUUGCAUCGACACAAAGGAAAAUAACAGUCUCAGAUUGCAGUGCUACUAUCAAGACUGUUCACACCCUCCCUAUAAACCCUUCAGCUGUAAAUUCAAGACAUCGAAUGGAGGUAUACUAGCUACAAUGAAAAACGUGAUGUGCAAGAAUUACACUGUCCCAUUAACAGAACACAGUCCUGGCGAGUUGCAAGAGACUGGUAAUGUGACAAACUUCACAUGCACACUGACAAGAAACAAGAGGACUGAAACGAAGAACAUCACCAUAGACUACAAGACACAAAAAGAAAAACAACGAAUCCCAAAGUGCUGUGCUGCAAGCCCAACCUCCCUGUGGCCUGUGGUGCUCCUCACUCUGUGGAGAGUGGUUGACUCCUGAUGAAGGAAGCAUGAAGGACUGUCUCUG
ensembl:lncRNA